ACUAUUUCCUGAGAUUGUGCAAUAAGCCAGCUCCGAGGUAGUAAGAACAGCGCAGAUGUUCCCCCACUAGAGUCAGCAGACCAGAGCUGGGACUGCACUUGGCAGAAUUUGGGGAAAACUCACUUGACUUCACUGGGCCACCGUAGCUUUCUCCUCUUGAGAGCUUGCUUCCCACCUUCACUGGGGAUCCUUGCAACGAGCACCCCAGAAGGGGUCUUCUGUGUGCUGAAUCACGUGGGUCAUUGGAUAAGCCUACUUAGAGUGGUUUGGAAGAGGAUUAGGACAUUUGCGUUCCUUCCAAGCUGACUUUCCAGGCAGGGUCGGUCAGCAGCUGGAGACUCCCUUGGCCAAGGGCCAGAGCUCUCACAAACUGCGCUGUUGGAAGGGCCUGAAACCAACCCAGGAUGCCACAUAAUAUGCCGCUGUCGUGCUUCCUUAGCCAUCCAGCUGGUGGCAGCUUUGCAAGCUUUCCUUGUGUUUCACCACCUUGACGCUUGGCGGAAGUACUAGUCAGGGUCUCACUUUGUAAUUUAGACUGGACUUGAACUCACUA